UUGGGCUUCUCCUUUUGAAACAUUGGUCUUUUUUCUUAGUUUUUCCCUAUCUUUAUCUCCAAUCUCCAAAUAAUUCUAAAAUCUGAAACCUGCAUUAUACUUUCUUCCAUAUUAUAAUCAAAGUUUGGGAGUUACAAUGUUUUUAAGGAGCAACAAUGACACAGAAUCACCUCCAAUUUCUGAUAAAAUCGAUGGCAGAUACAUCAUUUUUCAGUAUCAAAAUACAUCACGGAGGAGUUGUUAUGAAACGUACUCCAGAAAAGCAUUAUGUUGAGGGCAACAUAGACUAUAUUUGAUUAUGUUAAUGCAAACAAAUUGGACCUUGAUGAGUUUAAGAAGAUGGCAGAGAUUUAUGGAUACUUGAAGAAUUCAAUAACUUUUUGCUUAGAUUGGAAGCUCUGGUAAUAGAUGAAGGUUGGUGUCUACAGAUAAUGAAGCCCAUGCAGUUUGCAAAAAUGGCAGAGAUUUAUGGAUACUUGAAGAAUUCAAUAACUUUUUGCUUAGAUUGGAAGCUCUGGUAAUAGAUGGAGGUUGGUGUCUACAGAUAAUGAAGCCCAUGCAGUUUGCAAAAAUGUCUACAUGAUCGAAAUUUACUUUGAACACUUGGAUUCAUAUUUCAAUAUAGAAGAUAUGACUUCUAUCCAUAACUCAAGUGCUACAGAUAAUAACAAACAACAAGUUGUUCAGGAAAAUCCAUUGGCAAAUGAUUUUAGCGACUCGAAAGUUGAGUUAACUGAUGGUUUACUUGUUGAUAAACAUGAAAACACUGCACAAUACAUAGUGGAUGAAUGGGAGAUUCUCAGUGUCGAAGCACAGAGAAAGAUGACAGCUCCAGAAGGGGAGUCUGAUUGUGUUGAUUCUACGGACACAAAAAGUUUGCAUAGUGAUUCUGAAAAUGAGAUCUUGAACUUUCCUACAUUCAAUCCACAAACAGACGGAGACAACCUGAUUUUAGCUUUAGAAUGUGUUUUUGAAUGCAAGAAAGAUUUUAAAAGUGCAGUAGUUACUCACGAGAUUAAGAAUGAAAAGUAUAUCCAGUGGCUCAAAAAUGACAGAGAAAGAAUGAAAGUCGUUUGAAUACAUUCAGGGUGCAAAUGAAAAAUCACAGCAUGUAAAAUGCAAAGGAUACAACUUUCCAGAUUAGAAAGUACAUUCCUACAGAUAAUUGCAAGGAGUGGCAUUGUGAUAAUAGAAAAAUAACAUCAUCAUUCAUUGCAAGAAAAUACCUCACAUAAAUUAAAUCAAACGGAGCAUGGAGCUUAGUUGAUUUUAGAGAUAGAGUAAGUGUAGAUCUACGAGCUCAUGUAACUUUGUCUCAAGCCAAAAGAGCUAAGAUGUUAGCUAUUGCAUUGAUUGACGAUGAUAUCGAGGAUCAAUACAAAAUGAUGUGGGAUUAUUGUAUUGAAAUUGAUAGGACAAAUCCAGAUAGUACAAUUUAUAUGAAGUUCACUGAGAAUGAGAUACCAAACAAGCCAUACAGAUUUCAAAGAAUAUACAUCUGUUUUGCUGCUUGUAAGCUAGCUUUCAAGGUAGGAUGCAGAAAAAUAAUAGGCGUGGAUGGUUGUUGGUUGAAGGGUCCAAUGUAUUGGACUCAACUGUUAACUGUUGUUGGAAUUGAUGGUAAUAAUAAUAUAUUUCUCGUUGCCUAUGCAAUUGUCGAGAAAGAAAGUAAAGAGUCGUGGGUUUGAUUUUUGAACUAUUUGGCAGCUGAUUUAGAUGUAGAUGAGACUGGUUGGACCUUUAUGUCCGACAAACAAAAAGGUCUUAUUGGAGCUUUUAAUGAGGUUUUGCCAUAUGUCAGUCAUAGAUUUUGUGUGAGACAUCUACGUAACAAUUUUGAGAGAGCUGGCUUUGGCGGGUUCACAUUAAAAAAAGCAUUUUGGGAUGCUGAAAAGGCUACCACUGUAAAAGAAUCUGAUGUUUGCAUGUUACGUAUAAGAGAGUUAGAUCCAAAUGCUGCCGAUUGGCUCAAUGACAAAGAACCUAGCCAAUGGUCGAGGUCUCAUUUCUCUUCAGAUGCUAAGUGUGAUAUUUUAUUUAAUAACAUUUGUGAAAGUGUUUAAUAGCAUGAUCCUUGAUGCUAGAGACAAGCCUUUGUGACACUUUUGGAGGAAUUGUGAUAUCUUCUCAUGGCUAGAAUGUUAGAUAAUAGAGAGAAAGAGCAUAAAUGGAGUUCGAAUGAUGUUUGCCCAAAUAUUAAGGAUAUUUUGCACAAAAAUCAGACUGCAGGAGGUGAGUAUAUUCCUAGAAAAUCUUAUCAAUGGAAUUAUGAGAUUAUAGGAGCUACUAUUCAUGAUAGUUGGGCUGUUGAUUUGGAGAACAAAAUAUGUAGUUGUAGGAAAUGUAUCAUGGGAAUUCCUUGCAAGCAUGCUAUUGCAGCAAUUCGAGCGAAGAAGGAUAACAUUCUUGACUAUGUGGUGAUUGUUACAAAGUCGAAACAUAUAGAAAAAAUCUAUGAACAUGCAAUUCUUCCGAUAAAUGGGCCACAAAUGUGGGCUAAAUCAAGUAGAGUUCCUCCCUUGCCUCCAUCAAUCGUAGGAAAGAAAAAGAGAGGAAGAAAACAAAAGGUGAGAAGAAAGGAAGCCGAUGAAGUUGGAGCAAGUCGAAUAAAGAUGAAACGAAAGCAACAAUCUCUAGAUUGCAGUACAUGCAACAAGCCUGGUCAUAACAAAAAAACUUGCAAAUAUAAUGUUGUGUCACAAGAGACUACUUCAGUUCGUCCAAAAUUACCUAGGACAUGAAGAAGCGGGACAAGAAAAAGCUAGACAGGAAGGAGCUGGACAAGUAAAAACAGUUGGACAAGAAGAAAUAUGUAGAUUUUGGUUGGAUAUGCUCUACUAACACAAAGCUAGAAUGAAUCACUGGUGUUGAUAUCUCCUUUCUGGUGCUACUAUAUUGCAUUCUCAGGUGGUGUUCCUCUGUUUCAUUUUCAAGAGUUGUUGUUCUCAAAUGUUGUAUUGUUCUAAAUCCGUAGGUGUUGCGGUGUUGCCAAUAUACUGUACUUUUGGAGUUAUUUUUAUGCAUUUUCAAGUGUUUUGAACUUUAAAAUGAUGUUAUAGUUCUGCUUUUUUCUGGUGUUGCUA